AUACGGAGGAUCCGAGCGUUAUCCGGAUUUAUUGGGUUUAAAGGGUGCGCAGGCGGCCAUUUAAGUCAGCGGUUAAAUCGUGGGGCUCAACCCCAUUCUGCCGUUGAUACUGGGUGGCUUGAUUGCGGUCGAGGUUGGCGGAAUUCGUUGUGUAGCGGUGAAAUGCAUAGAUAUGACGAAGAACACCGAUUGUGUAGGCAGCUGACCAGACCGCAAAUGACGCUCAUGCACGAAAGUGCGGGGAUCGAACAGGAUUAGAUACCCUGGUAGUCCGCACAGUAAACGAUGAAUACUUGUUUUCGGCGAUAUAAUGUCGGAGGCAAAGCGAAAGCGAUAAGUAUUCCACCUGGGGAGUACGCCGGCAACGGUGAAACUCAAAUGAAUUGGCGGGG
rnacentral:rRNA from 1 species